rnacentral:rRNA from 1 species
AAUGCUUAGGAAUCUGCCUAUUAGUGGGGGACAACAUCUCGAAAGGGAUGCUAAUACCGCAUACGUCCUACGGGAGAAAGCAGGGGAUCUUCGGACCUUGCGCUAAUAGAUGAGCCUAAGUCGGAUUAGCUAGUUGGUGGGGUAAAGGCCUACCAAGGCGACGAUCUGUAGCGGGUCUGAGAGGAUGAUCCGCCACACUGGGACUGAGACACGGCCCAGACUCCUACGGGAGGCAGCAGUGGGGAAUAUUGGACAAUGGGGGGAACCCUGAUCCAGCCAUGCCGCGUGUGUGAAGAAGGCCUUAUGGUUGUAAAGCACUUUAAGCGAGGAGGAGGCUACUUUAGUUAAUACCUAGAGAUAGUGGACGUUACUCGCAGAAUAAGCACCGGCUAACUCUGUGCCAGCAGCCGCGGUAAUACAGAGGGUGCGAGCGUUAAUCGGAUUUACUGGGCGUAAAGCGUGCGUAGGCGGCUUAUUAAGUCGGAUGUGAAAUCCCCGAGCUUAACUUGGGAAUUGCAUUCGAUACUGGUGAGCUAGAGUAUGGGAGAGGAUGGUAGAAUUCCAGGUGUAGCGGUGAAAUGCGUAGAGAUCUGGAGGAAUACCGAUGGCGAAGGCAGCCAUCUGGCCUAAUACUGACGCUGAGGUACGAAAGCAUGGGGAGCAAACAGGAUUAGAUACCCUGGUAGUCCAUGCCGUAAACGAUGUCUACUAGCCGUUGGGGCCUUUGAGGCUUUAGUGGCGCAGCUAACGCGAUAAGUAGACCGCCUGGGGAGUACGGUCGCAAGACUAAAACUCAAAUGAAUUGACGG